AGAGUUUGAUCCUGGCUCAGGAUGAACGCUAGCGACAGGCUUAACACAUGCAAGUCGAGGGGCAGCAUAAAAGUAGCAAUACUUUGGUGGCGACCGGCGCACGGGUGAGUAACGCGUAUGCAACCUACCUAUCAGAGGGGGAUAACCCGGCGAAAGUCGGACUAAUACCGCAUAAAACAGGGGCACCGCAUGGUGAUAUUUGUUAAAAAUUUAUUGCUGAUAGAUGGGCAUGCGUUCCAUUAGGUAGUUGGAGAGGUAACGGCUCACCAAGCCUACGAUGGAUAGGGGAACUGAGAGGUUGGUCCCCCACACUGGUACUGAGACACGGACCAGACUCCUACGGGAGGCAGCAGUGAGGAAUAUUGGUCAAUGGGCGAGAGCCUGAACCAGCCAAGUCGCGUGAAGGAAGAAGGAUCUAUGGUUCGUAAACUUCUUUUGCAGGGGAAUAAAGUGCAGGACGUGUCCUGUUUUGUAUGUACCCUGAGAAUAAGGAUCGGCUAACUCCGUGCCAGCAGCCGCGGUAAUACGGAGGAUCCGAGCGUUAUCCGGAUUUAUUGGGUUUAAAGGGUGCGUAGGUGGUUUAAUAAGUCAGCGGUGAAAGUUUGCAGCUUAACUGUAAAAAUGCCGUUGAAACUGUUAGACUUGAGUGUAAAUGAGGUAGGCGGAAUGCGUGGUGUAGCGGUGAAAUGCUUAGAUAUCACGCAGAACUCCGAUUGCGAAGGCAGCUUACCAAGCUACAACUGACACUGAAGCACGAAAGCGUGGGGAUCAAACAGGAUUAGAUACCCUGGUAGUCG
rnacentral:rRNA from 1 species